GAUCCUGGCUUAGGACGAACGCUGGCGGCGUGCCUAACACAUGCAAGUCGAGCGGGGACAUACGACGGAGCAGAAGUUUCGGAUGGAAGCGAAGAUGUAUGUUCUAGCGGCGGACGGGUGAGUAACGCGUGAGCAACCUGUCCUUCACAGGGGGAUAACACAGCGAAAGUUGUACUAAUACCGCAUAAGACCACAUUGGGACAUCCCAGAGGGGUCAAAGGAGCAAUCCGGUGAAGGGUGGGCUCGCGUCCGAUUAGAUAGUUGGUGAGGUAACGGCCCACCAAGUCGACGAUCGGUAGCCGACCUGAGAGGGUGAUCGGCCACAUUGGGACUGAGACACGGCCCAAACUCCUACGGGAGGCAGCAGUGGGGAAUAUUGGGCAAUUGGGGGGAAACCCUGACCCAGCAACGCCGCGUGAGGGAAGAAGGUUUUCGGAUCGUAAACCUCUGUCCUUGGUGAAGAGGAAGAGACGGUAGCCAAGGAGGAAGCCCCGGCUAACUACGUGCCAGCCGCAGC
rnacentral:rRNA from 1 species